AUUGAACGCUGGCGGCAGGCCUAACACAUGCAAGUCGAGCGGAGCGGCGGACGGGUGAGUAAUGCCUAGGAAUCUGCCUGGUAGUGGGGGAUAACGUCCGGAAACGGGCGCUAAUACCGCAUACUAUCAGAUGAGCCUAGGUCGGAUUAGCUAGUUGGUGGGGUAAAGGCCUACCAAGGCGACGAUCCGUAACUGGUCUGAGAGGAUGAUCAGUCACACGGGAACUAGACCAGGGUCCAGCUCCUUAGGGUGGGCGCCGGGGGGGAAUAUUGGACAAUGGGGAAAGCCUGAUCCAGCCAUGCCGCGUGUGUGAAGAAGGUCUUCGGAUUGUAAAGCACUUUAAGUUGGGAGGCGUUACCAACAGAAUAAGCACCGGCUAACUUCGUGCCAGCCGCCGCGGUAAUUC
rnacentral:rRNA from 1 species